rnacentral:rRNA from 1 species
AUGAGAGCCAGCACUUCGCCAGGGCGCGCGUACCCACUAAGCCCAUCAAGGAUCACAGCAUGGCCCUUUCUCCCAUUUAUGACCGUCACCGAUAGAUCCUGCCACUUCAGAAAUACCCUGGCAACGCCGGGCUCCACAUUGUCCACUACCCCAUCGGCCGGCGAAGCCUCCCAUGGCUCCGAAUUAGAGAGACAACGUGGGAAGAAGAUGGGGCUUGACGGCCACGCCGACCAGCCGCGCCAUGAAACCAUAGCAGUGCUCGACGACGUCGUCGACUGUGGUGGCCUGGUGGGGCUCGGCGUAGGAGCCCAUCUCGGCAGUGGUGACGUCCAAAGUUGA